rnacentral:rRNA from 1 species
CCUUCGGUUGUAACCCUGUUGUCGGUUACGAAUGGUAGGUGCCAAUAGCGCUUCUACUUGACUAAGGCCGAUGAGGAAGCCACGGCUAACUACGUGC